rnacentral:rRNA from 1 species
GCUUAACACAUGCAAGUCGAGCGGUAAGGCCCUUCGGGGUACACGAGCGGCGAACGGGUGAGUAACACGUGGGUGAUCUGCCUCGCACUCUGGGAUAAGCCUGGGAAACUGGGUCUAAUACCGGAUAUGACCACGGAUCGCAUGGUUUGUGGUGGAAAGAUUUAUCGGUGCGAGAUGGGCCCGCGGCCUAUCAGCUUGUUGGUGGGGUAAUGGCCUACCAAGGCGACGACGGGUAGCCGACCUGAGAGGGUGACCGGCCRCACUGGGACUGAGACACGGCCCAGACUCCUACGGGAGGCAGCAGUGGGGAAUAUUGCACAAUGGGCGAAAGCCUGAUGCAGCGACGCCGCGUGAGGGAUGACGGCCUUCGGGUUGUAAACCUCUUUCGACAGGGACGAAGCGCAAGUGACGGUACCUGUAGAAGAAGCACCGGCCAACUACGUGCCAGCAGCCGCGGUAAUACGUAGGGUGCGAGCGUUGUCCGGAAUUACUGGGCGUAAAGAGCUUGUAGGCGGUUCGUCGCGUCGAUUGUGAAAACUUGCAGCUCAACUGCAAGCUUGCAGUCGAUACGGGCGGACUAGAGUACUUCAGGGGAGACUGGAAUUC